AUGCUAUGAAUAUGACAAACACAAUGAUUAACUAAUUUAAUUUUACAGCUUCAGUUGAUUUUUUACAUAUGUAUUAUAUGUUUUUUAUUUUAUAAAAAGCGGAUAUUAAUUUAUAUUUAUAGGAAAAACUAUAUAUACAUUUGGCAUAAUCCUUCUUUUUAUUUUUCUUUUGUAAACUAAUCCUUCUUUUUAUUACUAAGACGAUAUCAACUUUAAGAUUCUGCUUGUACAAAAUGUAAAAGAUGUUGCCUAACAAUUGAAUUUGACUUUGUCAAUUUGGAGAAAUAAGGAAGCAAGAUUCCAAAAAAAGCUAAAUAUAAUUUUGACCAACAAAGUUUCGACAGUUUUCUCACAAAGUUGUUCACACGUAAAAGAAUUACGGCUUAAGCAUCGGAGGCUAGCUUCCUUAACUCGCCGCCAUCUAUUCCUAUUGUCUCCCCUCCGGAUUUGUCAAUCCGGCGAUAGUGAUGAAGCUUUCUAUCUUAUAUAUUCUUCUGGGAUCUUCUCUCAUCUAGGAGUAGUGAUGCGUUCGCCCCUCCUUGGAUGAUGAAUCGAGCAGUAUGUCUCCUUCAUCUCUUAUGCAUACUAUAGUCAAUGGUACAUAAUGUACGUGAGUAUAAUGUUUGUGAAUGUAGAAAUAAAUGCUUAAUAUUAGGUCGAGUAAUAUAUAUUUAAUAAUUAAUUUUAAGUGA